rnacentral:lncRNA from 1 species
ACGUUCCCCUUCUGUCCAUAAACUUGAUGAAGUCAAGGCAAAGCAAAAGUGAACUUUUAUUUGAUGUGGCUAAAAAUGUAUCAAUGUAUCAUAAAAAGAUCAGAUUUUAAUAUAUUUAAUGUUCCCAUUUAUAAGUCUUCAGCUAUUGAGCUUUUAGUUGUCAAACUUCAGCAAUUUUGAUGAAUUUAAUACUUGAAAAUUUAUAUGUAUUUUAAGGUUUUACAAAGGAGGUUGGCCAAAUAUUAAAAAAGGAUACAUAGUUUUUAAGUUGGCAAAUAAUGUUAAGAGAUUGUAUUAGAUGAUAAGGAAAGACUGUCAGUAUCACUUAUGAAUGGCCCCUCUGCAUAUUGCAGGAUGUCUGGAUUACCCAUGUUUGAUUUUGGAACAUCUCAGCAUUUAGGUUUGGGUGUUGCUGUCUAUAUCUCCUUUAAGGAUGAUUUGCUUAAUUGUUGGAGUUCCCCACUUUAGAAGAUGCUUAUCAAGAACAGCUGUCGCAGCGUGGCUUUCUCCACCGACUCAUGGUGGUCUUUGCAAGAAUGUUUCUCAAGUUUGACAGGUGAGACAGAGGCUCUCCAGUGCCACUGCUUUUGGAUGAAUCUGACUGUGGUCGGAGAAAGUGCAUCUUGCCAAAAUCUAUGGGUGAGACCACACACAGCCUUUAGAAUAGUUAUUGUAGGGUUAUUUCAGGAGUACAUGUCUUGACAGUUCUUUUAUUUGCAUGCCAGUUUCAUUGCCGUGUAUAGAUUUCUCAUUGGGUUCAGAAAAGGCUAUUGUGGAUUGAGGUCUCUAUUAAGCUUUAUGUAUAAUUUAUGGUGAGUUCAGGCAUAAUUAACAAUACAGAAAGAAUAUUGAAAAUGAAGCAGUGGAAUACGGAUCUUUUUGUUUUUACAAAUUUGACAGUAUUCCCACUGGAAAUCUCAAUUUCUCAGACGUUUUAGCAGUUAAAAAUUACUCUAUUUGAACUUAAAGAUUUUUAAAAAUUAGAAAUAUUCAAAUAUUUGUAUUUUCUGAUAAUAUUAGGAAAAUUACAAUUUCUUAAAGUAUAUUUAAAAAACAAUAUUACUUAUAAACAGUGUUUGUAAAUUUUAUAAUUUAGUAAAAGCUUGGAAGCAUUGAAAUAAAUUCUGGAGAAGACAGUUUCUAAGUAUGUAGGCAUAAUUUGCAGGCUACCAGUCUUUUAUGCGAUGAUUAAAGCUUUGUUCAAAAUUCAAAACUAUAAUUAAAAUUACAAGUUUUCUUAAAAGAAAGUUGGUGCCUCAAAAACUGACAUUUUUAGUGAACUCUAGACUUUUGCAAAAGUGUUUCUUUUAAUAAAAUGAUAUAUUUGGACUUGUUCAUAAUUACUAUUUGCAAUAAUUGUAUUAAAAACAUUCACAAGACUUUUCACUUGAUUAGUGUAUAUACUUAAUAUACUUAUAAUAAUUCUAACCUCCCAAGAUAAGUUUGUGUCCUCUCUGUUCUCCCAACACAAUCUACAGAGACACAGACCUCCUUUCCCAUGUGGCUGAUGUCCUUCCAGAGCAUGAAGACUGGGGCAACCACUUCUGGCUUUUCAGUGAACAAAUUCAUAGAGAGAUGAGAAUAUGCCAUGUACAAAUAGAUUGUUUAAAAAAGAACUGGUGUUUAUUUCUCAAAGGUUAGCUAUAUUUGUGAACCUAGAUUGAUUGCU